GUUCCAGUCGAACGAAGGGCAAUGUGGCGUAUAGGAGAGGCCUCACCGGAUGAUUCGCAGCAGCCAAAGUCCCCCUGACCGGGGCCAUUGCCCGAAGUGGGUGCAAGGCCCGUGUGGCUGUUAUUGCGUUCAUUCGAUCGGCUUCCUCCUGGGAGUCGGGUUGCUUGGAAGUGCAGCCCUAAGUGGGUGGUAAACUCCACCUAAGGCUAAAUACUACCACGAGACCGAUAGCAAACAAGUACCGUGAGGGAAAGUUGCAAAGAACUUUGAAGAGAGAGUUCAAGAGUACGUGAAACCGCUCGGAGGCAAACGGGUGGGCCCUCGAAGUUCGAACGGGGGGAUUCAACUUGUCAGCUCCCGAUGGUCACCAGGCCGUGCAGUUGGAAGACGGAUCCGUCAAGGACCUCGGCACGGCCAUUUUAACCCAGUGGUGACCGCUGGCAGGUGCACUUCCCUNCCCAGUAGGACGCUGCGACCGGUCGGGGUCGCAGGUUCCUCGUCCAAAAGACGUUGGAACCGAGACGUAAAACGGUGUCCAUGGGACAAGACUCUGGAAGGUAUCCGUUGCCGGUAACUCUUCGUUUUCGUCCGUGAAAGCGCUAGAGCCCGGUCGGAGUUAUAGCCCGUCUUGCUCUGGUCUUCCUGUGCACCGCCCGACCGUGGUUACCUAUCGAACUGGCAACAGCUGGGGAGAUGUUGGAAAGGUAACGCGUCCGCGCACCGUUUCUUCCUCGUUUCGGCGAGGAGGUGGCGGUCCUUCCACGUAAGUGAAAAGGUGCGCGAGUCUGCUCUGGCAAGCUGUGCCCUGGCUGCCGAACGCCAUCGUCCUGGCGGUCGGUAAGUCUGUUGGCUGGCUGCUAGCCGAGUGCAGGCUACUCUCGUGGUGACGCUUGUUGUCUGCGGCGAGUAGGUCGGUUGCCCACCCGACCCGUCUUGAAACACGGACCAAGGAGUCUAACAUGUGCGCGAGUCGUUGGGUUGUCUUCCCAGAGACAAAACCCGUUCGGCACAAUUAAAGUGAAGGUAGUGCUGGUUUCCUUUGCCGUCCGUGCUGAGGACCAGCCUACCAUGGCGGGAUCCGCAUUUGGCUAUAGAAUUCUGGUAAGACAAAAAAGCCAUGCGGCGCACCGCCGGCCCGUCUUUUCCGCACUGUCGGUAAGGCGGAGCCAGAGCGUACACGUUGGGACCCGAAAGAUGGUGAACUAUGCUCGGGCAGGACGAAGCCAGAGGAAACUCUGGUGGAGGUCCGUAGCGAUUCUGACGUGCAAAUCGAUCGUCGGACCUGAGUAUAGGGGCGAAAGACUAAUCGAACCGUCUAGUAGCUGGUUCCCUCCGAAGUUUCCCUCAGGAUAGCUGGCACUCGGUGAGGAACGCAGUCUCAUCCGGUAAAGCGAAUGAUUAGAGGCCUUGGGGCCGAAACGACCUCAACCUAUUCUCAAACUUUCAAUGGGUGAGAAGUCCGGCAUGCUUGACUGAAGCCCGGACGGUGCAUCCUCGAGAAAAUAAAGAGGUGCAUGGCGAUCCGCAUGGGUAGUCAUUCUGACAUUGCGCGCAGUCUGUCGUGGCGGGAAUGAUUUGCUCGGAUCGAUGGAUGCGAGUGCCCAGUGGGCCAAUUUUGGUAAGCAGAAAUGGCGCUGUGGGAUGAACCAAACGCUGGGUUACGGCGCCCGAUGCUGACGCUCAUCAGAUCCCAUGAAAGGUGUUGGUUGCUAUAGACAGCAGGACGGUGGCCAUGGAAGUCGGAAUCCGCUAAGGAGUGUGUAACAACUCACCUGCCGAAGCAACUAGCCCUGAAAAUGGAUGGCGCUCCAGCGUCGAGCCCAUACCCAGCCGCUGGUGGCAAAGAGAACAGGAAAGGAAAGGCUGGUCGUCCGUCCACCUUCCUCUGGAUAAAAGGCCCCAGCGAGUAGGAGGGUCGCAGCGGCAAGCGUUGAAGGUGUCGGGCGUAGGCCCGCCUGGAGCUGCCGCUGGUGCAGAUCUUGGUGGUAGUAGCAAAUACUCGAGUGAGAACCUUGAGGACUGAAGUGGAGAAGGGUUCCAUGUGAACAGCAGUUGAACAUGGGUCAGUCGGCCCUAAGGAAUAGGGGAAACCCAUUCCGAAUCGGGUGGCUUUGGCAAGAACGAAACGUCUCUGCUGCGCCCAAUGUCCGUGUGUGCGCCAGCACUGGCAAGUGUCAAAAACAUGAAAACCCCCGAAUGAUCGAAAGGGAAUCGGGUUAAUAUUCCCGAACCUGGAUGCAGAGAUCGGCCCUCAGGGGCCCAAUGCGGUAACGCAAACGAACUCGGAGACGUCGGCGGGAGUCCCGGGAAGAGUUGUCNUUUUCUUUGUAAGGGACGGACUCCCUGGAAUCGGUUCGCCCGGAGAGAGGGAUGUUGUUCCCGUAAAGCACCGCGGCUCUUGCGGUGUCCGGAGCACUCUCGCCGGCCCUUGAAAAUMCGRGGGAGAGAAAAUGAUUUUUGCACCAGACCGUACCC
rnacentral:rRNA from 1 species